GACGAACGCUGGCGGCGCGCCUAAUACAUGCAAGUCGAGCGAGAACCAGGGCUUCGGCCCUGGGGACAGCGGCGAACGGGUGCGUAACACGUGAGCAACCUGCCCCGAAGACCGGGACAAGCCGGGGAAACCUGGUCUCAUACCGGAUGUUCCCUUCGCAUCGCAUGGUGCGAUGAGGAAAUGGAUUCCGCUUCGGGAUGGGCUCGCGGUCUAUCAGCUUGUUGGUGGGGUAACGGCCUACCAAGGCGACGACGGAUAGCUGGUCUGAGAGGACGACCAGCCACACUGGGACUGAGACACGGCCCAGACUCCUACGGGAGGCAGCAGUAGGGAAUCUUGCGCAAUGGGGGAAACCCUGACGCAGCGACGCCGCGUGCGGGAUGAAGGCCUUCGGGUUGUAAACCGCUUUCAGCAGGGACGAAAUUGACGGUACCUGCAGAAGAAGGCCCGGCUAACUACGUGCCAGCCGCCGCCGUAA
rnacentral:rRNA from 1 species